GAGUUUGAUCAUGGCUCAGAUUGAACGCUAGCGGGAUGCCUUACACAUGCAAGUCGAACGGCAGCACGGACUUCGGUCUGGUGGCGAGUGGCGAACGGGUGAGUAAUGUAUCGGAACGUGCCUAGUAGCGGGGGAGUAACUAACGCGAAGACGUAGCUAAUAACCGCAUACGCCCUACCGGGGAAAGGACAGGGGAGUCGCAAG
rnacentral:rRNA from 1 species